UACGAAGGGGGGCUAGCGUUGUUCGGAUUUACUGGGCGUAAAGCGCACGUAGGCGGGUCGUUAAGUCAGGGGUGAAAUCCCGGAGCUCAACUCCGGAACUGCCUUUGAUACUGGCGACCUUGAGGCUGGAAGAGGUUAGUGGAAUUCCCAGUGUAGAGGUGAAAUUCGUAGAUAUUGGGAAGAACACCAGUGGCGAAGGCGGGCUAACUGGUCCAGAUCUGACGCUGAGGUGCGAAAGCGUGGGGGAGCAAACAGG
rnacentral:rRNA from 1 species